rnacentral:lncRNA from 1 species
AACAAAAUGGGUAUUUAAACUGACUGUACCGCCUACUUGGUCUCUCUGCUUCCACUUCUAGGCUCACACGUCUCUCUACCAAGCAGGCAAAAUGUAAUGAAUCUGAGUACAGCAAUGUGGCAGACAGAUUUCUCUUCCUCCACCCACCCCACCCACAAGCCGAAAAUGACAAUGAGCCAAAGUCAGAUCCAAGAGAUCCUGAGAAUAUCUAUUUCCAGUCUCGGGAUUACCUCCUUUCAGAUGAAUCCCUGAGUUCAAGAGUCCUUGAGUUAGAGAGUCACAUGAUAGCCUCCCCGAGUGAGAUUUCCUUACCAGCAUACUUCUUGUCCAAUAGUAACUCCCUAUACUUGCCAUAUUACAAGGGACAAAGAGACCUGAAUUUUGCCAGUCUUCCAUUAUAUUUCUGUUCAUUGUUCAGAUGAUAUAGGCCCAAGGUAAAGGGGAAAUAUUUGUUCAUUAUUAAGUGGCUCUACCUUCCUGGGGAGCUUAAUGAGGAUAAUGGACUAUUUUUAACAUUUUAUGUUUCCUGUGUUUAUUCAUGCACCUGCAAGUCAUUUGACUCUUAUCCUUUUUUCUGAGUAAAAGAAAUAAAAAGCUAUUCCAAACCCA